rnacentral:rRNA from 1 species
UACGAAGGGGGCUAGCGUUGCUCGGAUUGACUGGGCGUAAAGGGCGCGUAGGCGGUUCGUACAGUCAGACGUGAAAUUCCUGGGCUCAACCUGGGGGCUGCGCUUGAUACGUGCGGACUUGAGUGCGGAAGAGGGUCGUGGAAUUCCCAGUGUAGAGGUGAAAUUCGUAGAUAUUGGGAAGAACACCGGUGGCGAAGGCGGCGACCUGGUCCGAUACUGACGCUGAGGCGCGAAAGCGUGGGGAGCAAACAGG